CCGAUUUGCUGAGUGAGUAAUCACUGUAAUCUCAAUUUGAAGACCUUGACUACUGGCUCACCUUGGAGACAGGAAGAUGCACGUCUGCUUAGAAACACCACCGCAGGUUCUUUGCAGACUUUGAGCUUUUGGAGUUGGAGACGGAAAUACUGAUGGAAACUUCCUCUGUUGGAGACAAACACGAACAGUCAGACUCAGGAGGAAGAACUGCAGGAAGGAAUUGUCCGGCACAGACGAUUCGGAUCGGUGCAGGCUUUCUCCGACGUAGUAAACCAGCGAUGCGGUGGUUAUUUCAAAGCAGUGAGGGCUGGCUCCGUCCGGAAGCAGAGAGAAGGUCUGAGCCGGCUCCAGGGUCAAGAUCUCCGACAGCGGGAUCUCCUGCAGGCACCAGGAAAGGAACAGGAAAUUAAAUAAUACCAUGAAGAUAGACGCUGAAAAUAAGAUCACUUUUUUA